rnacentral:rRNA from 1 species
AGUGAACGCUGGCGGUAGGCCUAACACAUGCAAGUCGAACGGCAGCACAGUAAGAGCUUGCUCUUACGGGUGGCGAGUGGCGGACGGGUGAGGAAUACAUCGGAAUCUACUUUUUCGUGGGGGAUAACGUAGGGAAACUUACGCUAAUACCGCAUACGACCUACGGGUGAAAGCAGGGGAUCUUCGGACCUUGCGCGAUUGAAUGAGCCGAUGUCGGAUUAGCUAGUUGGCGGGGUAAAGGCCCACCAAGGCGACGAUCCGUAGCUGGUCUGAGAGGAUGAUCAGCCACACUGGAACUGAGACACGGUCCAGACUCCUAAGGGAGGCAGCAGUGGGGAACAUUGGACAAUGGGCGCAAGCCUGAUCCAGCCAUACCGCGUGGGUGAAGAAGGCCUUCGGGUUGUAAAGCCCUUUUGUUGGGAAAGAAAAGCAGCAGGUUAAUACCCCGCUGUUCCGACGGUACCCAAAGAAUAAGCACCGGCUAACUUCGUG